UACGUAGGGUGCGAGCGUUGUCCGGAAUUAUUGGGCGUAAAGGGCUCGUAGGCGGUUUGUCGCGUCGGGAGUGAAAUCAUCUGGCUUAACUGGGUGCUUGCUUUCGAUACGGGCAGACUAGAGGUAUGCAGGGGAGAACGGAAUUCCUGGUGUAGCGGUGAAAUGCGCAGAUAUCAGGAGGAACACCGGUGGCGAAGGCGGUUCUCUGGGCAUGACCUGACGCUGAGGAGCGAAAGCGUGGGGAGCGAACCGG
rnacentral:rRNA from 1 species